rnacentral:rRNA from 1 species
ACAGCAGUCCCACGGUAAUACGAAGGGUGCAAGCGUUACUCGGAAUUACUGGGCGUAAAGCGUGCGUAGGUGGUGGUUUAAGUCCGUUGUGAAAGCCCUGGGCUCAACCUGGGAAUUGCAGUGGAUACUGGGUCACUAGAGUGUGGUAGAGGAUAGUGGAAUUUCCGGUGUAGCAGUGAAAUGCGUAGAGAUCGGAAGGAACAUCUGUGGCGAAGGCGACUAUCUGGGCCAACACUGACACUGAGGCACGAAAGCGUGGGGAGCAAACAGGAUUAGAUACCCCGGUAGUCCCUGUCUCUUAUACA